CGCGUGAGGGAGGGGUUCUUGGAUCGUAAACCUCUUUUCUCAGGGAAGAACAAAAUGACGGUACCUGAGGAAUCAGCAUCGGCUAACUCCGUGCCAGCAGCCGCGGUAAUACGGAGGAUGCAAGCGUUAUCCGGAAUAAUUGGGCGUAAAGCGUCCGUAGGUGGCUGUUCAAGUCUGCCGUUAAAGACCGGGGCUUAACCCUGGAAAGGCGGUGGAAACUGAACGGCUAGAGUGCAGUAGGGGUAGAGGGAAUUCCCAGUGUAGCGGUGAAAUGCGUAGAGAUUGGGAAGAACACCGGCGGCGAAAGCGCUCUGCUGGACUGGCACUGACACUGAGGGACGAAAGCUAGGGGAGCGAAUGGGAUUAGAUACCCCU
rnacentral:rRNA from 1 species